rnacentral:piRNA from 1 species
UAGUCGUAACAUGGCCGGCUUUGGAGAC